rnacentral:piRNA from 1 species
UAUCCUCGAAAGCAACAAAGGAUGUAGG